GAUGAACGCUGGCGGCGUGCCUAAUACAUGCAAGUCGAGCGAACAGAUGAGGAGCUUGCUCCUCUGACGUUAGCGGCGGACGGGUGAGUAACACGUGGAUAACCUACCUAUAAGACUGGGAUAACUUCGGGAAACCGGAGCUAAUACCGGAUAAUAUAUUGAACCGCAUGGUUCAAUAGUGAAAGACGGUUUUGCUGUCACUUAUAGAUGGUUCCGCGCCGCAUUAGCUAGUUGGUAAGGUAACGGCUUACCAAGGCAACGAGGCGUAGCCGACCUGAGAGGGUGAUAGGCCACACUGGAACUGAGACACGGUCCAGACUCCUACGGGAGGCAGCAGUAGGGAAUCGUCCGCAAUGGGCGAAAGCCUGACGGAGCAACGCCGCGUGAGUGAUGAAGGUCUUCGGAGCGUAAAACUCUGUUAUUAGGGAAGAACAAAUGUGUAAGUAACUAUGCACGUCUUGACGGUACCUAAUCAGAAAGCCACGGCUAACUACGUG
rnacentral:rRNA from 1 species